CUUGGUUGUGGCACUGAGAAUUCCCAUUGAGUAACUUUAUUUAUUCACAGCUGCCAGAAUUAUGGCUACCCUGUACAAGAGAACAAGAUGAGGUAGAACUUAACCUUGUAGUGGUAUAUAUAGAAAUUCUCAUGACGGGGUGAACAUUUAGAAGAUGGGAGGACUGGGCUGGGCCAUGGACAUUCUGCAUAAUCACUGAUGAAAUCUGGUCCUUCCAGGAGACUUCUGGUCUUUCAGAGGUGGCAUCCAGAAUCGUUUAGAAUACGUCACCUCUGCUUACUGCCCUUCUCCGUGCGUCUGGUAUGAAAAUGUUAAUGGCCCCUCUGUCUCACCUUUUAGCUUUCUGUUUGCCUGCUGGCACUGUGAGAUCUUCAGGGAACAGCCUGUUUUAUACUUGAUGUUUGAAUAGUUCACGUCCCCAGACAUAAAAUUAUCUCACCUAUAAAAUUUAGGUCUACUGGAAUACAGACAAUAAAGAGCUGACUGCUAAAGUAUGCAAAUGAGUGAAAUCCCUGUGGUCUCUACAGGUGUCACUAUGAGGCAGAUGAAUCUAACUAAAGAUAAGAGAAAAAAACAGAAAGCUAGUGUAAAUGAAAGGGAUUGCUGUUUGUUUUGCCAAGAAAUGCUGAGAUUUUAAGAUAUGAUGCUUUGAAAGCAUGCUGAGAUGAAGAAAGGUGCUAUUUUUUUAAGUGCUUUGAGGCAUUCUUCCAAUAAUUUAAGGAGAAAGCACUACAUAUUCUAAGAAAAUAUUGCAUCCAUCCUUGUAAUGAAGGUUCAUUAGGCAUCAGAUUGAUUUAUUGUAUUGUUUCUUUUAUAAAUUAUUUUCAUUAUGUUUUAUCACAGUACAUGACUACUGCCCUAGGGGAAUAUGCAGGAAUGAACUGAAUUGCAAGCGUAAUAGACUGCUUUAAUUAAAAUAGUGUAAUGCAUAUUUCAGUGCUAUUAACAAAAACAAAAUUGAUUUUGUUUUCUGGAUAAUUGAAUAUAUUAAAGACCAGGUGCUAUGCCUCUAUUGUUUAACCCUCUGAGUUCAGUUUCAUUUGGUGUUUUGCAGUAGGAAAAGCAUUUAUUACCAAGCAUUUCAGAAUAAUUUUCUUCUCUGCUGGCAACAUUUCCAUCUUCCCUUCUUUUCCCCCUUCCUAUUCCCUUGUGCAUGUGUAUACCAUUAUUGAGGAACAGAAAAGCAUAAACAUGAAUUUCAGUAAUGAAAGCCCCUUAAUCCUUAACAGCAUCUUCACAUGAGCUCCAGACAGUGAGGACACUGAUCCAUAAUAAAGGAAAACCCAUUAUUUAUCUGUGCUUUUUAACCUGAUGUUCUGUGGAGACAGCAGCAGUCAGCCACCAUAAUUCCAUUAGUUAAUGAACACUUCAGAAAUUUGUCCAUCAUAAGAAAGACCCUUUAAAAUUACAGUCAAUCAAUGACACCUACUCUUCUAAGUGGCUUCCUUUUCUCCUUUUUCUUUUGAUUUAUAUAGGCUAUGAGUCUUUUUUAUUUCCUUUACCCUCCAGGUACCCAGUUUACCUUAUACCAUGAAGAUGCAUUAUGCUAGAGACAUGACAGACAUGGGCAGAUCAGGUUAAUGAUUUCUGAGUAGACCUGUCAAAUGUAACCAACUGGCCUGGAAAAUGAACAGUAUCAGGGAGAUACACUACAUGACCCAUUGCCAUCUGCCAUAUACCCUAAAUAGCAGAUAGCCCCUUCACUUUUGUCACAGGAAUUUUCACUGGAAACUACUACUUUGCAAUAAAUAUUGUAAGGAGUCAGAUAUUUCUGGUUCAGCAGUCAUGAGUUUUUAUCAUUUGUUGGGAUGGCAUGCUGUAUUUCAUAUAAAUGACUUCCUUAAUAUCAAGGCCUUCAGUCUUCUUCACAUUCACCCUUGCUUUCUAAUUCCAGGAAAAGCACUCACAUUCUCAGGUGUCUUUCCAGUGCAGUCACUGCAGAUAGCUGCAGCUGGAAAAAGGAAAAGAGAAACAUUUUAACAGACGUCUUUUCUAUUCUCUGCAGAGCUAAUCACAGCAGGGUCAUAGGAGGCAGAUACGUUUGCAGGACUGAUGCAGAGCUCCAUUGCUCGAGGUGGAUCCUGAGGAAUAGUUGCUAUUUAUUGCAGCCCAAUGUAUUGGAAUUCAAAACCAAGGAGAUCGAUCAUCCUCGCAUCAGAUCUGAGGUUUGGUACAUAGUAUGCAUUUUUUGCAGUGUGGUGGAACAAAGCAAUUAUUUCACAGCUGAAGGAAAACCAGAAGAUAUUUAAAAAUGGAAAGCAUCCUCUAAAUAACAUUCUCAAAGUGAGAAAAAGAAGAACAUUGAAAUGAACUAGACUACGUCUUAAAGUUACUGAGGACCAUACCCACAGGUAAAUACUGAGGUGCAUAUUAAGAGUACUGAGACACCUAAUAGAACUGUAUACAUCUUUUGAUUUGUUUAUAAAAUCAACAUGGGACUUGUAUCUUAAGUGUCAUUAGGUUUGCAUACUACUUUGAAUACUCAAGGAACUUUGAAAUGAGAUCUAACCUCCUAAAUCAC
ensembl:lncRNA